rfam:Gorilla gorilla gorilla genomic chromosome, chr7, whole genome shotgun sequence
GUGCACGCUUCGGUAGCACAUAUACUAAAAUUGGAAAGAUACAGAGAAGAUUAGCAUGGCCCCUGCACAAAGAUGACAUGCAAAUUUGUGUUCCGUUCCAUAUUCGC